GGGUGAGUGGUGGAAUGGCAGACACGAGGGACUUAAAAUCCCUUGCUCGCAAGAGUGUGCGGGUUCGAGUCCCGCCUCACCCA
rnacentral:tRNA from 1 species